UACAGAGGAUGCAAGCGUUAUCCGGAAUGAUUGGGCGUAAAGCGUCUGUAGGUGGCUUUUUAGGUCCGCCGUCAAAUCCCAGGGCUCAACUCUGGAACUGCCUUUGAGACUGAGAGGCUUGAGUACGGGAGAGGUGAGUGGAAUUCCCAGUGUAGAGGUGAAAUUCGUAGAUAUUGGGAAGAACACCGGUGGCGAAGGCGGCUCACUGGCCCGAAACUGACGCUCAUGCACGACAGCGUGGGGAUCAAACAGG
rnacentral:rRNA from 1 species